rnacentral:lncRNA from 10 species
AAAGUCUUUUCUUCCUUUCGCAUCGUUUCUUACCUAUAUUAGAAGUAAACUAUACUAACUUUUUGUAUAUUUUUACUUUAAUAAUCCUAGCCUACACAUUCACCUCCUGGCUCUCCAGAGACCUCUGGAUCACUGAGAAAAGGUCACAUAUGGAUGAUGUAAAAGGAUCCCACCCAGGACACCAGAAUUACAUUUAGUUGCCAUCUCUCCUCUUCGCUGUGGAGCUGGUCUCAAACUCCUGGGCUAAAGUGAUCCUCCCCCCUUGGCCUCCUAAAGUGCUGGGAUUACAGAUGUGAGCCACGGUGCGUGGCCUCUCAAUAACAUUUAAGUCGGCCAUUGACACUUUAAGUACCAUCAGAUCUGCUGGAUCAUAUGGCCCAAAUGGCAGAGCAACUUGCCCAAUAGCCUGGACCUGUUGUAGAGCCUUCUCUUCUCCUACUAGGUAUUGUGGUGUGUGUGUGUGUGUUUUUUUUUGGUUGUAUAAGGGGCCAAAUGCAACAACUUAUUCUUCAGCUUACAAGUGGUAUCUUGACAUGUCCUAUACUGGUCCCCUAGGAAUUUCAUGAGGUGGAGGGCCCCAGAUGUUUUGUGACACUUAUUUCCUGUCUUCAGACAUGUAAAUAUUUUACCAAUAUGUCUAGAGUAAUUGCUACUUCCUGCUCACCAUGAGUAAUCGGCAUAAUAUCAUCAAUGUAAUGGACCAGUACGAAGUUCUUUGGAAGGGGAAGACUAAAUUAUGACAUAGGGCUAAAAGGUUGAUAUAGCCCUGUAGUGGGACAGGAAGUUGUACAGUGGUCUUGCCAGUUGAAGGUAAAUUCCUUCUGAUGGUAUUUUCUAAUAGGUAUAGAGGGAAAAAGCAUGUGCCUGAUUAACAGCUGCAUACCAAGUACUAGGAGAUGUGUUGAUUUGCUCAAGUAAUGAAGCAUCUAAAUGGCAGUGCAACUGGAGUCACCAUGUAAUUAGGUUUAUAAGAAUCUAUUGUCAUUUUCCAAGAUCUAUUUCUGUUUUGCACAUGCCAAAUAGGCGAGGGGAAAAGAAAUGUAGUGGUUAUCACCACCUCUGCAACUUUCAAGUCUUUGACAGUGGCACUUAUCUUUACAAUCUCUCCAAGAAUGUGGCAUUGCUUUUAGUUUGCUAUUCUCAUAGGUAUAAGCAGUUCUAGUGGCUUCCACUUGGCCCUUCCCGUUACAAGUCUUUACAGGUCAGGGAACCAACAUGGGGAUUCUUCCAGCUGUUGAGCCUAUCUCUGUUUGUUUGUUUUUGAGACAGAGUCUUGCUCUGUCGCCCAGGCUGGAGUGCAAUG